rnacentral:rRNA from 1 species
UACGUAGGGACCGAGCGUUGUCCGGAAUCAUUGGGCGUAAAGAGCGUGUAGGCGGCUCGCUAAGUCUUGCGUGAAAUCUCGGGGCUCAACCCCGAGCGGUCGUGAGAAACUGGCGGGCUAGAGUGCGGGAGAGGAGAGUGGAAUUCCUGGUGGUAAGCGGUGAAAUGCGCAGAUAUCAGGAAGAACCACCCGUGGCGAAGGCGGCUCUCGUGGAACGCAACUGACGCUGAGACGCGAAAGCGUGGGGGAGCAAACAGG